CCAGAGCUGCCCCUGGACAGUGAACAGCUGGGAAUCUCCCAGGAGCUCUGGAGGAGCAGCAUUCCAUUUCUCUUUCGAAAAGAAGCCUCAUGCACAGAAGCACAACAUUAGGAGCCUUCCAUAUGUUGGUGCUGAUUUGAAUGGCGGCAGCAUCUCCGAGAGGGACCCGAGGCCCCAGUAUAACCAAAACCAUGGGGAAAACAGGCCCAGAGAGGCUCGGAGUCCUUUUAGCUGUGCAGGGCCUGGCAGUGGCACAGAGCUCAGCUCGGUGCCCUCGAGGCCGAGCAGAUGAAGCCUGUCCUGCAUUCCCCAGGCUCCCCCAGUGCCCAGGGAUGGAUUGUCUCAAAUCCAGCGUGUGGCUGCUCUGCAUCCUCCCAUCCUCACCAUGGAUUUGCUGGAGAGAGGGGAGGAGGGAGCCCCGGCCCAGUGGGAGCCCUCGGCCGGGCCCGGCACCCGCGCUCUGCACAAUGUCCAUUUGUUCUGGGUGCUAACACGAAAUGACAAAAGACUCCAGAUUCAUGCUGAACAAAAUUGUCCCCUUGCUAAUUAUUAGAUUAUGAAAUGUGUUUCAUAAUGUAAUGAAUAAUGGGGGGGUGGGGGACGGACGUUGGCUUAUUUUAAUUUUUUUUUCCUGCUUGAAUCUGGAUUUUUUCAUUGUUUGCCCCGGAGUUUUUGUUGGUAGGUUGAAACAGA